GACAGAGGUGCCAAGCGUUAGGCGGAAUCACUGGGCUUAAAGCGUGUGUAGGUGGAUGUCUAAGUACCUUGUGAAAUCCCACGGCUCAACCGUGGAACUGCUGGGUAUACUGGACAUCUUGAGCCACUUAGGGGCUACCGGAACAAAUGGUGGAGCGGUGAAAUGCGUAGAUAUCAUUUGGAACGCCAAUGGUGAAAACAGGUAGCUGGGAGUGUGCUGACACUGAGACACGAAAGCCAGGGGAGCAAACGGG
rnacentral:rRNA from 1 species